AUGGAGAACUGUUUUGCUUCCCCGACGUUCCUGACUGACAGCUUAGAGCUGGAGCUGGGGACAGAGUGGUGCAAACCUCCUUGCUUUUCUUGUGCUGUUGACAACAGAGGAGGAGGAAAACAUUUUUCUGGAGAAUCCCACCUCUACAGUGGAGCCCUUAAGCGAUUAAUUUUGAAUCUUGAUCCUUUACCAACUAAUUUUGAAGAAGAUACAUCGGAAAUAUUUGGCAUUCAGUGGGUUACUGAAACAGCAUUAGUGAAUUCAUCCAAAGAGCUCUUUCAUUUAUUCAGGCAACAACUAUACAACUUGGAAACCUUGUUACAGUCCAGUUGUGAUUUUGGGAAGGUAUCAACUCUACACUGUGAAGCAGACAGUAUUAGACAGCAGUGUGUAUUAUUUCUCCAUUAUGUUAAAGUUUUUAUCUUCAGGUAUCUGAAAGUACACAAUGGGAACAGUCAUGAUCCUGUCCAUCCUUAUGAGACUUUGGAGGCUCAAAUUCCCUCAGUAUUGAUUGAUGAGCUUCAUGGAUUACUCUUAUAUAUUGGACAUCUUUCUGAACUUCCCAGUAUUAAUAUAGGAGCAUUUGUAAAUCAAAACCAGAUAAAGCUUUUUCCACCAUCAUGGCAUUUAUUACAUCUCCACUUGGAUAUACAUUGGCUGGUGCUAGAAAUUCUCUACAUGCUGGGUGAAAAAUUAAAACAAGUUGUAUAUGGUCAUCAGUUUAUGAAUCUGGCAAGUGACAAUUUUACCAAUGUCAGUCUAUUUGAAGAACAUUGUGAAACUCUCCUUUGCAAUUUAAUAAGCCUGUCACUCAACAGGUAUGACAAGGUUAGGCCCUCUGAAUCAUUAAUGAGUCACCACUGUCCAUGUUCAUGCAUUAAAGAAUUAUGGGUUCUACUUAUUCAUCUUCUAGACCACAGAAGUAAAUGGUCUCUCUCAGAAUCAUUCUGGACCUGGUUGAAUAAACUACUUAAAACACUGUUUGAAAAGUCAAGUGACCGAAGAAGACCCUCUAUGCCUGUAAUCCAGUCCAGGGAUCCGUUAGGUUUUAGUUGGUGGAUUAUUACUCAUGUAGCAUCAUUUUACCAGUUUGAUCGCCAUGGAGUACUAGAUGAAAUGAGAAAAAUGGAAUCAAAUUGGAACUUUGUAGAAGAACUGCUGAAAAAGUCCAUCAGUGUUCAGGAUGUCAUUCUCGAAGAACAAUUACGAAUGUACCUUCACUGUUGUUUGACACUUUGUGAUUUCUGGGAGCCAAACAUUGCAAUUGUUACCAUUUUAUGGGAAUAUUAUAGUAAGAACCUGAAUAGUUCCUUCAGUAUUUCUUGGCUUCCUUUUAAAGGUCUCAGUAAUACCAUGAAGUCACCCUUGUCUAUGCUUGAAAUGGUGAAGACCUGCUGUUGCGAUAAACAAGAUAAGGACCUCUAUAAAUCCAGCAGUAGUUAUACUAUUUUUCUUUGCAUUCUGGCAAAAGUUGUUAAAAAAGCAAUGAAGAAUAAUGGCCCCCAUCCUUGGAAACAAGUCAAAGGAAGAAUAUAUUCAAAAUUCCAUCAAAAAAGAAUGGAAGAACUAACUGAAGUUGGUCUACAGAACUUUUUUAGCCUUUUUCUACUGUUAGCAGCUGUUGCAGAAGUAGAAGAUGUAGCAAGUCAUGUUUUAGAUCUCCUGAAUUUCCUCAAGCCUUCUUUUAUAACAUCUCAGAGAGCCCUCAUUUGGAAGGGUCACAUGGCCUUCCUCUUGAUGUAUGCCCAGAAAAAUCUGGACAUUGGUGUUUUGGCUGAGAAAUUUUCAUGUGCUUUCCGGGAGAAAGCAAAGGAAUUCUUGGUGUCUAAGAAUGAGGAAAUGGUACAGAGACAGACUAUGUGGACACUUCUUUCCAUAUACAUUGAUGGUGUUCAAGAAGUGUUUGAGACCAGCUAUUGCUUGUAUCCUUCCCAUGAAAAACUGCUUAAUGAUGGAUUUAGUAUGCUUCUGCGAGCAUGCCGAGAAUCUGAACUUAGGACAGUAUUGAGCUUUCUACAGGCUGUUCUGGCCAGAAUCAGGAGUAUGCAUCAACAAUUGUGUCAGGAACUUCAAAGGGACGAUGUGGACCUGGUUGCACAGUCUUCAUUAUCAGCUAAAGAGCGCCACCUUGCUGCAGUUGCUAGUGCACUGUGGAGACAUUUCUUUUCAUUUUUGAAGAGUCAGAGAAUGUCACAGGUAGUGCCUUUCAAACAACUUGCGGAUGCAGCUGCAGACUUUACUUUGCUAGCAAUGGACAUGCCAAGCACAGCUCCAUCAGAUUUUCAGCCUCAGCCAGUUAUAUCAAUUAUUCAGCUUUUUGGUUGGGAUGAUAUCAUCUGUCCUCAAGUUGUAGCAAGAUAUUUAAGUCAUUUCCUGCAAAAUAGCACAUUGUGUGAAGAACUGUCUCAUUCAUGCAAUGUAUCUUUUCAAGCCUUAACUGUAAGAUCAUGGAUUCGUUGUGUUUUGCAAAUGUAUAUAAAAAACCUCUCUGGACCUGAUGAUUUGCUCAGAGAUAAAAAUCUUGAACAGGCAGUUGAAAAAGAGUACAUGGAACAGUUGAUUGAACUGACAAGGUUACUAUUUAAACUCUCAGAAGUAAAGAGUAUUUUCUCAAAGGCCCAAGUUGAAUAUUCGUCCAUCUCAGAAGACCCUAAAAAAGCACUCAUUCGAUUCUUUGAGGCUGUUGGCAUAACUUACGGGACUCUUCAGACACUUUCUGAUAAAUCUGCCAUGGUCACAAAGUCCUUGGAAUACCUUGGUGACAUAUUAAAAUAUAUUAAGCCUUAUUUGGGAAAAAAAGUUUUCAGUGCAGGGCUACAGCUCACUUACAGAAUGAUGGGAAUUCUUGUGAAAUCAUGGGCACAAAUCUUUGCCACCUCUAAAGCCCAAAAAUUACUUUUCCGGAUCAUAGAUUGUUUACUGCUGCCACAUACAGUAUUACAGCAAGGGAAGGAACUGCCUGCACCUAUGUUUUCUGCAAUUCAGAAAAGUCUUCCUUUGUAUCUCCAGGGCAUGGUGUGUUGUCAAUCUCAAAAUCCAAAUGCCUAUUUGAAUCAAUUGCUAGGGAAUGUUAUUGAGCAGUAUAUUGGGCGAUUUCUUCCAGCUUCACCAUACGUUUCAGAUCUUGGACAACAUCCUGUUUUGUUGGCUUUGAGAAACACAGCCAUUGUUCCACCAAUAUCAUCUCUAAAAAAAUGCAUUGUACAAGUCAUAAGGAAAUCCUACCUUGAGUAUAAGGGGUCCUCACCUCCUCCUCGCUUAGCAUCCAUUCUGGCCUUCAUUCUCCAACUCUUCAAGGAAACUAACACAGAUGUUUGUGAAGUUGAAGUACUCCUCCCUGGCAUUUUAAAAUGCUUGGUGUUAGUCAAUGAACCACAAGUUAAAAGGCUGGCCACAGAGAACCUGCAAUACAUGGUAAAAGCCUGCCAAGUGGGGUCAGAAGAAGAACCUUCCGCCCAGCUGACUUCUGUGUUUAGGCAGUUUAUCCAGGAUUAUGAUACAAGGUACUGUUAUCAGGUUUACAGCAUUUUAGAAACAGUAGCAACAUUGGACAAGCAGGUUGUCAUCCACUUGAUUUCUACCCUCACUCAGUCUCUGAAGGAUUCAGAGCAGAAAUGGGGCCUUGGCAGGAAUAUAGCACAAAGGACCAGUGUGCCAGCCAAAGGAAUGAACACAGCAUUUUCCAAAGAAAUGAUUCUGUUCAUCAAAAUGGCUACUGGAACACAGAAAUACCCAUCAUGUGAACAUUCAAGACUAUUACAAAAUAGGAGAUGUGGAGAAAGUGCACUGUGGCAGCACUCUGGUCUCCUAAACUUGACCGGGAAGGGAUCUGAUCACUUGUGGAUGUUAACAAUGGAAGCUGACAAGUGGGGAAAAGUUAUUCUCUCCAUAAAGAAAAGUAAGGGUUCAAAUACUUUGAAUAGGUCACCACCAUCAACCACAUGGCUAGGAGACAAGUCAACGAGAAUCCAGAGGAUUAGUGUCUAAUCCUGAACUGCGCUGGAAUAAUCAAUCAAAACUAAUGGAUAUAUAAAGAGGAAGGAACCUAUCCAGGCCAAUCAUUACUCUCUCACUCAACCCCAACUGGAGUACCCUUGCCUGCAGCAGUAUUCCUGGCUUUGAAAGUCAUCAAGCUGAUUUGUCUGCUCUGGGUUACGAUGCCACAUGCUGCUAUACUGUCCCCUGCAAUCAAAGCACUUGCAAAGAUAGAUUCCAUGCCUUCCUCUAUCGAGUAUAUUUUAUAGAUUGGCAGUUUUGAUCUCCCUCCCCCACCCCAGGGGGGAUAAUCUGCAUCUUAACAGCUUUCUAUAGAUACAUCUGUCAUUAAAUAUGCCAUCUCAUAUCAGCAUCCAUUUUUAAAACCAAGUUUUCUCUAACUUUGAAGUGCCACAGUGAAAGUUAAGACUUUUCAGCCAAAAUUGAAAAUGAGCAGCCCUGUCUUAUACUUUUGAACUGUGACUUAAAGAUAUACUGCAGGUUCCCCCAAAGUCAAAUAAGUCUUUAAAAACUGCCAGAAGGAAUGAAAAGUUACCACCGUGCUACCAGCAGUGAGAAAUGCUUUCUAUCAUCAAGACAGGAGCAAAGCAUUUUUCUUAAGCUUCCCUGUACAACUCGCCACAAAAUAUUGUGACAAAUGGAUGAGUGCAUACUGGAUCGAUGACAGGCGACGGCCAAACAAGCAACCUUCGUCUCUGCUACUGAGAUCACUGACUCUCAAACAUAUUCUACUCCAAAGCAACAACUGGUCAAUGCUGACAGUGCUCAUGAAAUAAGAGUGUAUAGAAAAACUGCUCUCAUUGUACUUAGACUGGGUCAAGUCUGAUGGCUCUGCUAAUUUUUUUUUAAUGACACCUCUGUUGAUAAAUAGAGGGUCCUACACUAAACUCCACGAGUAGAUGCCUGUGGUUCCUAAUGCAGUGCUAAUGCACAAACAGGACAGAGUGGGGUGCCAAGAACUGAUCUCUACACGCAGGGUGGAGCCUGCUCCAGGUUGGAAUUCUGCCAGCAAAUUCAGGAUUGAGGAAAAUCAUCUAAAGUUCUCUGCAACUGUCUUGGAGACCUGCAGUGGCCAGGUUCACACUAGUCUAAGGGAAGAGUUUCAGGACAGGCUAUGGCAUUAACAUGGGUCCUAUAUGACUGUAUCCUUGGGGAAGCCAUUUAACACAGCCAGCCUCAGCUUCCUCAUAUGCAAAACAGAGAAGAUGAUAUCUUCCCUACAGGUUUCAGAUGAACUAGAGCGCGUGACAUAGUGACAAUCCGCAGAGCGAACUUUAUUACAGUCCUGUAGCUGCUUAUAAAAAUUUCUUACCAUUUCCAUAAAAGAUACAAAUGACUAUAUGUGAAAUACUGAAUUAAGACAUGAAUUGUGUAGUGCGAAAUAGAUAUCUUAUAAUUAUUUUUUCUGACAACCAGAAUUACCAGCUUUUUUUUCAGUGUCCAAGGCCUUUUUCCUUUAAUAGUUUAAGCCCCUCUCUUCUGUAACUUUCUCCAACUCUUGAAAGACUAAAACUUCAUACUUACAAUUUAAUUACCUAAAGAAUAACCUAGCAUUAAGUAUGAGUUAAUAUUAGUUACUGUUGAUAGAACUACACUCAUUAUUAGCCCUUGAUAAAAGUAAUACCAUAGGAAUAUUUAUAAUAAAUGCAAAACCAAACUUAGUAUCUAUUUUUAUAUGAAAUUAAAGA